UAUGGGGAGACGGGAACCGGGUGUUACUAUAGGGGACAGGGUUACUAUAGGGAACAGGGUUACUAUAGGGAACAGGGUUACUAUAGGGAACAGGGUUUUGGUGACUAUAGGGAAAACCAGGUGUUGACUAUAGGGAACACGGGUUACUAUAGGGAGGAAACGGGUGGACUAUAGGGAACCAGGGUGUACAUAGGGAACAGGGUGACUAUAGGGAACAGGGUUACUAUAGGGAACAGGGUGGACCUAUAAGGGAACAGGGUUACUAUAGGAACAGGGUGAUAUAGGGACACAGGGCUACUAUAGGGAACAGGGUGCUAUGACAGGGUACUAAGGGAACAGGGUUGACUAUAGGAACAGGGUUGACUAUAGGGAACCAGGGUGAC
rnacentral:lncRNA from 1 species